rnacentral:rRNA from 1 species
GGAGGGCAAGUCUGGUGCCAGCAGCCGCGGUAAUUCCAGCUCCAAUAGCGUAUAUUAAAGUUGUUGCGGUUAAAAAGCUCGUAGUUGAAUCUGUGUGUCACGAUGUUGGUUCACCGCUCGCGGUGUUUAACUAGCAUGCCGUGAGACGUCCUACCGGUGGGCUUAGCUCUUCACGGGGCGGUCCAACUAAUAUCCCAUCGCGGUGCUCUUCAUUGAGUGUCGAGGUGGGCCGGUACGUUUACUUUGAACAAAUUAGAGUGCUUAAAGCAGGCUAUCUUCGCCUGAAUACUGUGUGCAUGGAAUAAUGGAAUAGGACCUCGGUUCUAUUUUGUUGGUUUUCGGAACCCCGAGGUAAUGAUUAAUAGGGACAGAUGGGGGCAUUCGUAUUGCGACGUUAGAGGUGAAAUUCUUGGAUCGUCGCAAGACGGACAGAAGCGAAAGCAUUUGCCAAAAAUGUUUUCAUUAAUCAAGAACGAAAGUUAGAGGUUCGAAGGCGAUCAGAUACCGCCCUAGUUCUAACCAUAAACGAUGCCAGCUAGCGAUCC